UACAUCAUUAAAGUGUGCAUUUGAGAAUCUAAUUUAGUACUUUGUGUCGAUCCAUUUUGUAGGAACUAUCUUAGAUGACAUUCUCCUAGGAUCUGUCGAAUCCUAAAGCGCAAAGGAACUUUCAUCACUUUAAAGAUCAAAAGUAUCAAAAGACGUGCUCUACUAUGACAGACUUACUCUAACGCAAAGGAAAUAGUUUCUUGUUGAAGUGUUCUACACGAAAGCUAACAAGAGAGAUUUUCCAGCAUGAAGAAGUAUGUGCAUUUAAUGCAAACAUUAAAUGCUCCAACGACCACAAACUUCAAACAUGAGCUAUUUGUUUAAAGACAAUGAACACUUGUUGAAGAAGGCCUAUAAAUACCAAAAGCUUUGAAGAAAUGGGAUACGAAUCCUACAUGCAUCCAUUCACACUUUCUAUAAAAAGCAUUAUGUAUAUUCUUGGAAAGUUGGAAACACUCUCAAAACACCUUGUAUAUGCUAAGAGAAAAGACUAAGAGCUUAGCUUUCAUAUUUGUUUGUAAGACAAUUAAGAGUUAGUCAGUGAGCAAACGAACUUCAAAUCUUUUGAUUUAUUUUUAGCUAGCAGUAACUUGGCAGGACAAAGAAUAUUGGUUUGUUUCAAGCUUGGUGUAAAGCUUAAGUUGUAGAGCCAAAAGUAGCAGUAACUAAUACUUGUAACAUUUGUGAAGUUAGUGAAACUUCGCUGUUAGCCAAGAACUGGACGUAUUCUCAAUGGUAGAGAUGAACAAUUAUAUAUCUUUCUGUCUUAUACACUUUCUAUUUAUCUUCCAUUUUAAAUUGAUCUAGGGUUUGAAUUUGAUUUUGUUUGGAAACACAUUUUGUUUUGCGAAAUCUGUUUCUAUC
rnacentral:lncRNA from 1 species